rnacentral:rRNA from 1 species
AUGUUUUCAUGGGAAUAUCACGUCCUUCGCACAUUGCUCUGCCACAAGGCGGGAUCCCUCCAGGACACCGUCGAAAUACAGCUCGGGUCGCCGAUGCUCCUUGCCGUCAGGUGGCCCUUCGGUCAUCAACUUCUUGGCAUCCAUCUUCGCCUAGUGCGUCUUGACAUGCGCGAAUGCCAUCCGUGCACCCUCAAUGCAGACCGACCGCUUCACGACUUCAAGCCGUGGACAGGCACUCACAAGCCAAUUCACAAGUCCGAAGUAGCUGCCGGGCACGGGCUCGGCAGGCCACAGACGGACUAUCAGGUCCUUCAUGGCUAA